ACCGCGCGGGAGGGGCGGGGCCUGCCGCCGCCACCGCCUCAGGGAAGAGGAAGGAGGCCGCGGCUUCGCGUCCCGCCUCUCGCCUGGCUGGCCGUGGGGGGCCUGGACGCAGUGGCCUCCCGAAUCUCCCAGGACCCUAAUAUCGCCCGAGGAUGCUGGGAGGAACGCUGAGCCGACCUCUCCGUUAGGCUGAAGAUUGCACAAACCAUGCUAAUGGCCAGCAUGGAUGGAGGGAGCGUGUGAGAUGUGUGGGGCAGCGUGCUGCAUCUCAGCCAACUCCAGGAGGGCCUGUCUUGAGAUGCACCUUGUUUGCCCACGGGGGAAACGUGCUUUGGAAAGUGCUGGACACCAUGGCUGUGCAGGCCCAAGAAGAUGGAACGAAGUCUGUUUGUGGAAACACCCUUCCCCUCUGUUUACUUGGACCUGAUUUUGAAAGUAACAAGUCACUUUAUUUGGGCUGGAGGAAAAAGCACUAAACCAGAUGUUGAGGUGACCGGGAUUCCUGGAAGACAUUCUUCUCUCCAACGAGACACAUGAUGCAUGAAGUAGGAGCCCCUGGCAAGGAGCCCAGGCUGCCAUGGCCUCGCUCGCUCCUGCUUCCCGGCAUGGCCCCGAGGCUAGCUGCCUCUGUACUGCCUGAGCAUCGUCCCCUGGCGUGUCACCAGACUACCCACUACCUGUGCUUGCACCUGCAGGUGGGCAGUUCAGUCGUUGCAGGCUGAAGCUCCCUGUCACAGGAGUCCAUCAGCACUGGAGUUUACCAAAUGGCCCAGUCCAGGAAGCAUGCUCAUGGCAAUACCCGGAGUCUCCACUGCAAGACCAGAGUGACGGAGGCAGCAGAGCUCCUCAGCAGGCCAGGAGUCUCCAGAGGCACUGCCGAAUGUCUAAGAAGCAACCUCAUUGUAUUCCCAAGACCUGGGAAUCCAGGUCUCGCAGAUACGAUGAUACAAUCUAUAGCCAGGACAUCUCUUCAUGUGUAGGAUAAGCAACUAUCCCAGUCUUCCCAGGAUUGAGGGGCUUCUCCAGAUGCUGCACUUCUGGUGCUAAAAAUGAGAAACUGAAAUGAAUUAGUCACCCAAGGAAUGCUGACCCUGUGCUAUAUGAUCACAUUUACUCUUUAAAGCAAUGCUUUGAGGCCAAGCUAUAAAUAAAGGGUGGACUGACCUUGUCAACUGUUAAAUUGGAGCCGUGGUGCGUUGCCUAGAACAUUGCGGAUGACCCCGAGCAGCACAGCAGAUCAACGGCUGAGAAAGAGCUCAUUCAGCUCAUCUAACUAGGAUGCUGUCCUGCCAGAGCCCUGGGGGUUCUCGUCUCCUGGGGCAAAAGCAGCAUGCAACCCUUAUGAACCCAUCUUGGAAGGCAUUCGGGGAGCCCAAGACAAGACCAUUGGGAGCCUCAGGGUCACUUGUGGGGGUCUCUGUGCUGGACGGCUGUACCUCUCAUGAAAUGGACAACUGACCAUAAGAAGGAGGUAAGUUACGCAUGGACGGGAAAAUAAGAAGCUCCUACUUAGGGCUGUGAUAUGUGCGGUAACCAUUUAACGUUAAUAGCAUCCAUGUGAGACAGGUGCUAGUACUGCCCCAUUUCAUAUUGGCGGACAUUGAGGCACACAGACUGUAUGACUUGCCCAAGGCUGCCCACCUGGUUAGGGGAGCUCCAGGAUUCCAAUCCAGUCCGAACUCAACACGAGGGGUGGCACCUACAGGCUGGGGUCAAUCUGGAAGACUGCCUGUUGUAUGGCCUGGCAACUAAAAAUUGUUUUUUACAUUUUUAAAUGGUUGACAAAAUUAAAAUAAGAGAAUAUUUCAUGACAUCAUCAAAUUACACGAAAUGCAAAUUUCAGCAUCUACAAAUACAGUUUGAUUGGGACACAGCCACCCUCAUCCGUUUGCAGGCUAUCCCUGGCUGCUUACAGGGUCCACAUAGUCCAUAAAGCCUGAGAUAUUUACUAUCUGGCCUUUUACAGAAAAAGUCCCCAAACACUAAUCUGAAAUGUUUGCAUCAGAACCCCUUGUGGGGCUUGUUAGAAUGCAGCUCCCUGGUCCCACACCCAGUCUCUGAUUCAGUAAGUCUGGAGCAGGGCCUGGGAAUUUACAUUUCAAAAUAAUUUCCCAGGUGAUGCUCAUACUGGUCCACAGACCACUUUGAGAGCCACUACCCUAAACCCCAGUGCUCUACUGCUUGUUGUCAGGAUGGCUGGGUCAGGUGAGAAAGAAGCCUAGACAUCCCUAGAGCCACCUGCUGUGCAGCCACCUUUUGAGAAAGUGUCCCCAGUGAUCUUUUCCCAGGUUAGCCUUUGUGGCUUGGGCAUCCAGCCUUUCAGAGAUAUGAAACCACACACGUCUUCAGAGUGAACAGCUGCUCACCCCGAUGUGCUCAAGGGGUGCAGGAUGUGGACACAUCCUACUGAAUGAGCCAGACAACGUAACUGGAUCUGUCCAGAACACCACGAUGGGUGACAUUGCCAUCUGCAGCAGUGCUGUACUUCCUCCCGCCAAUUUGUAAAGUGCAGACAGGAUGCUGGAUCAACUGGCUGCUGCUGAGGCCAGUGACCUCUAGGGCGUAUUCCCACGUUCCUUUGCAGUAGCUGCUCACCUUUGUAAGCAUGUGAGUUAUUCGUGCUGUCUGUUGUGAUCCUAAGGAAUCCAAUGGUCAGGACCAGAACUUCUGAAGUACAGCCCAGCAUUGCCGUCUGGCAUCCCCAGAAAGCAGAUUUUGAGAUUGGCAUGAUGGCCGUUAAGCAGGGCGUUCUCUCUGGAGCAAUGUCUAGCCGGGGUCGGAGUGGGGAGAGAGAGAGGGGGGCUGCUGAGAAUAUCACAGAGAGAUGGCAGCCUUUCUGCAGCAUAGGCCUAAGUGCACACUCACCUGGCUAUCACUGAGAGGACUCUCUGUUCAACAGGGCCACUCAGGGCUUCCCCUGCAUGGAGAUCUGAGUGUCCAGGGAGGGGACGUGGUGAGCAUUUCUCUGGUCAAAGUGUGCAAAGCAAAAUCUGCCCCAUUCCUGCCAAAGUGGUUGACAUGGAGGAAAGGGGAGUGCCAGUUCUGUAGGCUGAGGUGGUGGCUGUUAGAACUGCUCCUAGGCUAGUUGGUGUUCUGGAAGGUUCCCCUCUAUGUGAGAUGAAAGAGCAUAUCUUUAAGAGCUGCAACUUUGAAGCUCUAAUAUAGAAUGCUUUUGGUGGCAAGCAUUACUUCGGAAAGGGCUUGAAGACCCCUGAAGAUCCUUGGUGGCCUAGGCAGUUCCUUUAUUGCCAGGGCUGUGCAGGACUAAGCUUCAACAGCGCCACCAUGUGACAAGAAGCAAUUGCAGUGGUGCAUUGAGGGUUUUCUUUUGCACUGAGAACUCAAGUCCCACUUUCACCCUUGGACCUGGUAAAUCUUUGGGGUUCAUGGACAAUUCUGAGGAGGAGAUACUUAAGAGAGUGAUGUUAGAAUUUGAUGUUU
ensembl:lncRNA GMDS-DT GMDS divergent transcript